rnacentral:lncRNA from 1 species
ACCGACUGAAUAUACAAUUUUGACUCUACAUCAACUGGCCGACCAAACAUACAACUCUGAUGCAAGUUAACCAACUCCGACUCCGACUCUACAUCGGCCGACUGAGUACGUUGUGUCGACUCACAAUCGGACAACUGACAGACAAUCGACUACCAACAUAUCAGAGUUACCAGCCGAUGCUCACUCGGACAUUCCACCGACAUAUCAAUACUACCGAC